rnacentral:tRNA from 1 species
GCCCGGGUGGUGGAAUGGUAGACACUGGGGACUUAAAAUCCCUUGCCAGUAAUGGCGUGCGGGUUCGACUCCCGCCUCGGGCA